rnacentral:rRNA from 1 species
UACGUAGGGCGCAAGCGUUGUCCGGAAUUAUUGGGCGUAAAGAGCUCGUAGGCGGUUUGUCGCGUCUGCUGUGAAAUCCCGAGGCUCAACCUCGGGCUUGCAGUGGGUACGGGCAGACUAGAGUGCGGUAGGGGAGACUGGAAUUCCUGGUGUAGCGGUGGAAUGCGCAGAUAUCAGGAGGGAACACCGGUGGCGAAGGCGGGUCUCUGGGCCGAUACUGACGC